UACGGAGGGGGCGAGCGUUAGUCCGAAGUUACUGGGCGUAAAGGGCGCGUAGGCGGGUAGCUAAGUCGCUGUCAAAGCCCGGGGCUCAACCCCGGAAGGUCGGUGGAGACUGGUUUCUUGAAGCUGCCAGGGGAGGAUGGAAUUACCGGGUGUAGGCGGAUUGAAAUGCGUAGAUAAUCGGUAGGAACACCAGUGGCGAAGCGGUCGUCCUGGAGCGAGAUGAUGGACCGCUGAGGGCCGCG
rnacentral:rRNA from 1 species